rnacentral:rRNA from 1 species
ACGCACGCUGGCGGCGUGCUUAACCCCUGCAAGUCGCACGGAAAGGCCCUGCUUUUGUGGGGUGCUCGAGUGGCGAACGGGUGAGUAACACGUGAGUAACCUGCCCUUGACUUUGGGAUAACUUCAGGAAACUGGGGCUAAUACCGGAUAGGAGCUCCUGCUGCAUGGUGGGGGUUGGAAAGUUUCGGCGGUUGGGGAUGGACUCGCGGCUUAUCAGCUUGUUGGUGGGGUAGUGGCUUACCAAGGCUUUGACGGGUAGCCGGCCUGAGAGGGUGACCGGCGCCAUGGGGACUGAGAGAGGCCCCAGACGCCAAGGGGGGGAGGGGGGGGGAAUUAUGGCAAAGGGGGGGGGAGCCGGAGCCGGCAGCCCCGGGGGGGGAAGGGCGGCCUUGGGUUUUUAACCCGUUUCCCCCGGAGACAAGGCGGGAGUGAGGGUAGGGGAAAAAGAAGCCCCGGCAAACUGCGGC